rnacentral:rRNA from 1 species
AUUGAACGCUGGCGGCAUGCCUUACACAUGCAAGUCGAACGGCAGCACGGGAGCAAUCCUGGUGGCGAGUGGCGAACGGGUGAGUAAUACAUCGGAACGUGCCCAAUCGUGGGGGAUAACGCAGCGAAAGCUGUGCUAAUACCGCAUACGAUCUACGGAUGAAAGCAGGGGAUCGCAAGACCUUGCGCGAAUGGAGCGGCCGAUGGCAGAUUAGGUAGUUGGUGAGGUAAAGGCUCACCAAGCCGUCGAUCUGUAGCUGGUCUGAGAGGACGACCAGCCACACUGGGACUGAGACACGGCCCAGACUCCUACGGGAGGCAGCAGUGGGGAAUUUUGGAUAAUGGGCGAAAGCCUGAUCCAGCCAUGCCGCGUGCAGGAUGAAGGCCUUCGGGUUGUAAACUGCUUUUGUACGGAACGAAACGGCCUUUUCUAAUAAAGAGGGCUAAUGACGGUACCGUAAGAAUAAGCACCGGCUAACUACGUGCCAGCAGCCGCGGUAAUACGUAGGGUGCAAGCGUUAAUCGGAAUUACCGGGCGUAAAGCGUGCGCAGGCGGUUAUGUAAGACAGUUGUGAAAUCCCCGGGCUCAACCUGGGAACUGCAUCUGUGACUGCAUAGCUAGAGUACGGUAGAGGGGGAUGGAAUUCCGCGUGUAGCAGUGAAAUGCGUAGAUAUGCGGAGGAACACCGAUGGCGAAGGCAAUCCCCUGGACCUGUACUGACGCUCAUGCACGAAAGCGUGGGGAGCAAACAGG